CUGCUCUCUGGACACCCGCUGAGCCAAGUGGUGAAAAUGAAAGAUGAGUGAUUUUGAUGAAUGGAUUUCUGGGAAAUACAGAAAAAUGGAAGAAGGGCCUCUCCCCCUGUUGACUUUUGCUACUGCUCCCUACUACGACCAGAAACCAGGAACUAGUGGAUUACGGAAGAAAACCUAUUGUUUUGAGGCGAAGCCAUGUUAUCUGGAGAAUUUCAUCCAAAGUCUGUUCUUUUCCAUAGACCUUAAGGAUCGCCAGGGAUCCUCAAUGGUGGUUGGUGGAGAUGGGCGGUAUUUUAAUAAAUCGGCGAUAGAAACAAUAGUGCAGAUGGCAGCCGCCAAUGGGAUUGGUCGCUUGGUUAUUGGGCAGAAUGGAAUCCUCUCUACCCCUGCUGUAUCCUGCAUCAUUAGAAAGAUCAAAGCCAUUGGUGGGAUAAUUUUGACAGCCAGCCACAACCCAGGAGGGCCCAAUGGAGAUUUUGGAAUCAAAUUUAAUAUUUCCAAUGGAGGUCCCGCUCCAGAAGCAAUAACCGAUAAAAUCUUCCAAAUCAGCAAGACAAUCGAAGAAUAUGCAAUUUGCCCUGACCUGAAAGUAGACCUUGGAGUUCUGGGAAAGCAGCAGUUUGACCUGGAAAACAAGUUCAAACCAUUCACAGUGGAAAUUGUGGAUUCAGUGGAGGCUUAUGCUACAAUGCUGAGAAACAUCUUUGAUUUCAAUGCACUGAAAGAACUGCUUUCUGGUCCAAACCGACUAAAGAUCCGUAUAGAUGCCAUGCAUGGAGUUGUGGGACCAUACGUGAAGAAAAUCCUCUGCGAAGAGCUAGGCGCCCCUGCAAACUCAGCAGUUAAUUGUGUCCCUCUGGAGGACUUUGGAGGCCACCACCCUGACCCCAAUCUUACCUAUGCUGCUGACCUGGUGGAGACCAUGAAAACAGGAGAACACGACUUUGGGGCUGCCUUUGAUGGAGAUGGGGAUCGAAACAUGAUUCUUGGCAAGCAUGGUUUCUUUGUGAACCCUUCAGACUCCGUGGCUGUCAUUGCUGCCAACAUCUUCAGCAUUCCAUAUUUCCAGCAAACUGGGGUCCGAGGCUUUGCCCGCAGUAUGCCUACCAGUGGGGCCCUGGACAGGGUGGCUAAUGCUACAAAGAUCGCUUUGUAUGAAACCCCGACUGGCUGGAAGUUUUUCGGGAAUUUGAUGGAUGCAAGCAAACUGUCCCUUUGUGGGGAAGAGAGCUUCGGGACUGGUUCUGAUCACAUUCGUGAGAAAGAUGGACUCUGGGCUGUCCUCGCUUGGCUCUCCAUUCUAGCUGCCCGCAAACAGAGUGUGGAGGACAUUCUCAAAGAUCACUGGCAAAAGUAUGGCCGGAAUUUCUUCACCAGGUAUGAUUACGAGGAGGUGGAGGCUGAGGGUGCCAACAAAAUGAUGAAGGACUUGGAGGCCCUGAUAUCUGAUCGCUCCUUCGUGGGCAAACAGUUCUCAGUGGGUGACAAAGUUUACACCGUGGAGAAAAUUGAUAACUUUGAAUACAGUGAUCCAGUGGAUGGAAGCGUUUCAAGGAAUCAGGGCUUGCGGCUCAUUUUUGCGGAUGGCUCUCGCAUCAUCUUCCGACUGAGCGGCACUGGGAGUGCAGGAGCCACCAUUCGUCUGUACAUCGACAGCUAUGAGAAGGACAUCGCCAAGAUCUACCAGGACCCUCAGGUCAUGUUGGCCCCCCUUAUUUCCAUUGCUCUGAAGGUGUCCCAACUCCAAGAGAAGACAGGACGCACUGCACCCACCGUUAUCACCUAAGAAGACAGGCCAGAUGCGGGACAUCAGUAUCUUCUUACCUUUGGACUUGGACUCAAACUAGAACUACACCGUUAGCUCUCCUGGAUCUCCAGCUUGCCAAUGGGAGAUGUUGGACUUCCCAGCCUCCAUAACCAUGUUCCACAUGCAGGGUGGAGCUCAGUGCGGGACUUAAACUCACGACCCUGAGAUCAAGACCUGAGCUGAGAUCAAGAGUCAGACGCUUAAUCGACUGCACCCCCCAGGUGCCCCUCACCUUUUCUCCUUCUGUCCAAGAAUUGUGGUUUAUCUCCGAUGUCCUGAGUGUGUGAAACGUGAAUUGAAAAAAAUCUGCCAGAACUUGGACUGGGGACAUAUUUACUAAUCUUACCUUGUGUCCAGCACUGUGGCAAGCACUUUCUAUGGAUAAUUGUAUUUAAUACUAAGAACGGGCAUUAGAUUGAACCAUAUGGAAUUGUCAUUUCUUUAGGUCAAAAUGGUUAAAUGUCGACAAUUUCAUAUGCUUCUAAUCUAUACAUGGGUUAAAUCUUAUUAUUGUUAUUCUCAAUAUAUAGAUGAGAAAUCUGAGAUUUGACAGGGUAAAUAACUUAAUCAUAAUAGGAUCCAUGCUUUUCAAAUUGUAUUGUGCAUAUAAUCAUUGGCGACCUUGCCUCAGUGCAGAUUCUGAUUCAGUAGGUCUGGGGAGGGGCAGAUUCGGCAUUUCUGCAAGUUCCCAAGUCGUUCCUGUUGGUCCGUGGACCACACACUUUGAGUAACAAGGAUUAGAGAAAAACUGACUUGAGCUGACCUUGUCCUUAAAGAACCCCUAGAGCUGUGAUGGGGAUCAAGUUAGGAGACUACCAAACAAGCAUCGUCUAGACAUUAAUUUUUUAUAAAAGGAUUUGCCUUGCAUUCAACCAAUUGAGUGCUUCUGUGCAUUGAGCUAGACCCUCAUUUGUGGAUCAGAAGACUUCCCUCCUCCCAUCCUUCUUUCCUAUCUCUCUUUUUCUCUCUCUUUUGAUUUCUCUUUUCCCUUUGAUUACGAUUGUAUUAAACUUUUUGCAGGUACAAAUAACAGAAACUGACUCUCACUUCGUAGAGUCAAAAGACAAAUUGGUUGGCAGACUAUGUGGGCUCACAGAAUUCCCAGAAAGUCUAGGGGACCAUGGAAUAGAGGCUAGAAGCAAAACAGCUCCAGAGGGUCAAGAAGCCAGAACCCCAACUCCAAAUGUUUCUCAAGAGAUGUGGCUCUUUCACUGUCCCCUCAUGUCCACUCCAGCCAAAGAUACCCCUCUGCUCCCCACAAUAGCUGCUACUACAAAGGAAUUUUAAUGACCAUUCACUUUUCACCAUCCCUUCAGGAGUCCAAUCAAGGGCAAGAGUAAUCAGUUGGCUGCUCUCGGGCUAAAUUCUAGGAGUGGCUGCCAGGGGACCAGGAAGAAGCAGGGCACUGCACCUUGCAGGCUGCUCCAGUGCACAGUUCCCUAAUAGAGGACUGAUGCUGGACAAUCCGACCUACAAAUAUCCACCACAGCUCUUCAGGGUUAGUCUCCUUUAGUCUUCCUUCUGGAACAGAGAAAAUACCUGAGCUGCUGUACAAUUACUGAAAACCUCAAGGAAAAAAGUGGAAAGCACAGCCUGUGAACCUGAAAGUCUAAUAACGACAACCUAAAGAGCACCAAGCUUUUCAUCCUGCUCAGCCACAGGAAAAAGGGAGGAAGGAAAAAACAAGAAUUUUACCCUAAUUGUAGAAUCUGCUGAUGAAAAUUCUGAAGCACUUGCUGAUGACUAAAUUAUUCUGUAAACCAAACAUGACUCUCUGUAGCUCACCAGGAGCUGAGAGGCUUAGACAAUGCCUUUCCUUCCUGCUUCUCUCCCUCUCUCCCUCUCUCCCUCCCUCCUUCCCUCCUACCUCCCUCCUUCUUCCCUCCCAUCCUUUCGUGCUUUCAUUAAUUUAUGCAUACAUGUACAUAACAAACUUUUACUGAGUACUUUCUAUGUUUCAGGUGCUGUGCUAGGCUCAGAGGAAACAAAGAUGAACAAAAAAGAAUUCCUCAGAAGGAGCUCCAUGCAAUGAGAAUGUGGGGAUAUGAAAAGUAAAUGGGAUCUGCAACUACUGCUUCUACAGUGUAGCUUUGGGUUGCUGCCUUCCACCAACUUCUCCAUACUCAGAAGAUGCAAGAUUUGUUUCCAUUGCUGAGUAGUCUCAUUCAUCAAUUAUCUAGUAGUGCAUAAGCACCUAUGUGUUGGUAGCAGUUUGUUGGGGCUCUGAGGGACAUUGAGAUCUCCAAGGCAUUUUCUCUAUCCAGAAGGCAUUUGCAAUCCAGCUAGAGUAAAACAUGGGAACAGACAUGUGAUUUAAUAACAAUGGACAGAGCCAGAUGCCUCGGGUGCACAGUCGGGGCUGCAGAAGACUGACUAGCACAGGGGAUGAAGUGUGAGCUUUCAGCAGGCACCCUGGCUCUGCUGUGCUGGAGGCUGGCCCUUCCUAAGUCCUCACUCACCUCACUGGGAAGUCAAUGGGCCUAUAGAGACAGUAUACGGGGCUUGAUCCUGGAACCAGCUCAUCUCUAUGGGAACUUGGACAAGUUUAUCUCUGAGCCUUAGUUUUCUUAUCAGCCUUACUCAGUGGUCCUGGGGCCAGGCUUAAUCCUUCCCUCACCACAGUGGAGCCCUGGGCUGGCUUGUUGCGUCUCUCCUACGCUGCCCAACUUGACUAGCCUGCCCUGGCCCAUGCACACCUGCUGAUGGCUCCCGUCUACCUGCCAGGAAUUCCAGCUGCUCCCUGGCUACGAUCAAGACUCAGGCUCAAUCUACUUCUCUGAUUUGGGAAGUACAGGCAGGCAAGUUACUGGCAGAUGUAGUGACGGGGUGUGGAUGCUUCUGCACUCUGCAUCUUUCACAUAACGGAUAAUGGCAUUUAUGAAAGCCUUGCUAUGUGCCAGGUUCUGUCCACCGUUACUCAGUAUCCCUCAACCUGCCUGACAUUCUCACCUCUCCAUCAUCAGCCCCAGCUACAGAAAUGUGGUUAAGUUCCUGUUUCUUUGGCAUCACCUCAUGUGAAAACAGCUGGAUGAAGUUUCACCCAGUUUGGAGGGUAUUUGAGGAUGAUCUUACUUCAAAUGAGCUAUAUGACAUGAAAUUUUCACCAUGGGAAGCCUCAGCAUGAGAACAAUACUGAACUCACCUGCUGGAGAUGGGACACUGUGGAACAGAGCUGAGUCAUCCCAGCUGAGGCCAUCCUAGAUCAGCCAUUUCCAGCAGACUUUCCAGCUGGUGGCAGACACAUGAGCAAGCCCAGCUGACAUGGGAGCCCAUUUCAGAUCAGCCUAGAUGUUCAGCUAACCCUGAAAUUUUUGAGAAACAAUAAACGGUUGUGAUUUUAA